CCAAACAUCGCCGCCACCUGGCUGAGAAAGAUGGGGAGGCUCCGACUGUCCCUUGAAGGAAGCGGAAGUAACAGUGGUCUACAAAGGGCAGAGGCUGGGACUGCUGAGAGGUGCUUUUGGAGAGCAGCUGUGAGAAUUACCGAGGCAUCUGGCUCCCCCUGUGGAAUGCUGACCUAAGUCUGGUCACCACAGAGAGAAUAUUAACUGGAAGAUAUUUUGGCAUGAUACAAACUGAAAGGAAUAGUCUCAGCUCCACGAGUGCCCAUCACAUGCCUCAGAGACUACAGAGACAAGUCUACCUGGAAUGCUUAACAAGGACUGUCUGAAGGGAUAUAAUAAAAAUUAAAGUUCAACUUUGUCUU